UGUUUGACUGUAUUUUUCUUUCUCUCCUUUUUCUUUUUCUUUUUUUUUUAUGCAGUGGGUGCAGUGAACUUUAUUGAUGGUAUUCAAGAUGGUAGGGCUCCCUAAGCCUUUCCUGUUAUUAUGGGGGUCUGGGAUGUUAACUGGGAUGGAGAUGCUCAGUGUUGGAGACCGAGUAGGACAGGGACUCCUCAGCAACUGAGAGCCUCUCACUUGCUCUCAAUGUCCUUGCUUGGGUGAAUAGUUUCUUACUAUUUCUUACUCCUAGGAGGCCAUGUAGCCCUUGAGGUCCUCCACCCUGUUGCUAUAGCCAUAUUCAUUGUCAUUCUAGGAACUGAGUUUAACAAAGUUGUCAUUGAGAGCAAUGCCAGCCCCAGAAUCAAAGGUGAAUGAGUGGGAGUUACUGUUGAAGUCACAGGAGACAAGUUGGUCCUUAGUGUAGCCCAGGAUGCCCUUCAGUGGGCCAUCAGAUGCCUGCAUCACUAACUUCUUUAUGCCAUAAUAUAUGGCAGGUUUCUCCAGGUGGCAUGUCAAAUCCACACUGGAUAUGUUAGGAAUAGUAACACAGAUGGCCAUACCAACUCUGGAAUUAACUUGCCCACAGCCUUGCCAGCACCAGUUGAUGCAGGGAUGAAGUUCUGGGCAGCCCCAUAGCCAUUACACCACCCCUUUCCAGAGGGGCCAUCCAUAGUCUUCUGAAUUGCAGUGAUGGCAUAGACCAUGGUCAUGAGCCCUUCCACUAUGCCAAAGUUGUCAUGGAUGACCUGGCCAAGGGGUCUAAGUAGUUGGUAGUACAGGAUGGAUUGCUGACAAUCUUGAGGGAGUUGUCAUAUUUCUUGUAGUUCAUAGCCAUCACAAACAUGGAGGCAUCGGCAGAAAGGGUGAAGAUGAUGACCCUUUUGAUCCCACCCUUAAAGUGAGCUCUGGCCUUUUCCAUGGUGGUGAAGACACCCGUAGACUCCACAACAUAGUCAGCACCAGCACCACCCAUUUGCUAUUAGUGGGAUCUCACUCCUGGAAGAUGAUGUUGGCCUUCCCAUUGAUGACAAGCUUGCCAUUCUCAGCCUUGACUGUGUCAUUGAACUUGCCAUGGGUCAUACUGUAAUAUGUAGACAAUUUAGUUGAGGUUAAUGAAGGUGUCAUUGAUGGCAACAGUCUCCACUUUGUAGCUGCAGAACAGAAGGCAGCCCUGAUAACCAGGUGCCCAAUAUGGCCAAAUCCAUUAACACAGAAUGUCAUCAUCACGUCUACAGAAUCAAGCUGGUCCUCAUGGGAAGAUGCAGCUGUCUCUGAAACAGGGAGGAGCAGAGAACCUUCUUUUAUUUUUUUUUAAGGGAAUUACUUAUAUCCUCUUUAAGGGCCUCCCUCUAUCAUCUUCAUGAGAUGGAAUUUAAGGUGUGUUAGGGUAUCCAGGGAUUGCUGUAAUAGGAGAACUGGGUCCUGAUGGUGCCAAAUUGCAAUGCCUCCUGUGAGUUAUGUUCUUCUGCUUUUCAUUUGCCAUCUGGUUGUUUGGUGUUAACUGGUCUGGGUGUCCAGGAUUGGGGCAGGCCUCACUGGAACCAGGGUGAACUGUGUGUCCCAGGUUAGAGCAGGCCUCCUGUGAGGCAGGCAGUGCUCUGUCUCUGGUUACACCAGGCCUACUGUCCUACCUCUGGGAUCAAAACUUCUAGGCCAGCAGAAGUUUGGGGUGUGGGAACAGGAAGUAAAAACGUUGCUAGUGGGUCACUAGGCAUGAUAGUAAGUGGACCUGUUCCCUUUCUACCCCUUGAUUCCUGGACCCAUGAUUCCCAGCUAUGGGAGACACUGUACCAUGUACGGAAUACUGAUUCAAAGCAUAUACUGCUUUCUGGAGAACCCUGUUUUAGCCAUUCAUGCUCCUGCCACCUAUUUGGUGCUAUCACUGUGUCUUCAAAAGGACAUUCCAUUUCUCUGUCAUGUCAUCUCACUUCAGGAUGGUGGUGUACAAGGUAAGACCAGUGGAUUCCAUGAUCAUGGGGCCCUGCUGUGGCAAUUCUUUGGGUGUGAAAUGUGUUUCUUGGUCAGAAGACAUACUGUGUAGAAUACCAUGACAAUGGAUAAGUCACUUUAUAAGGUCAUAAAUUGUAGUUUGGCCAGAAGGAUCAUGUAUAGGAAAGGCAAAUGCAUAACCAGAAUAAGUAUCUACUCCAGUAAGAACAAAAUGUCUUUUUUUCCCAUGGAAGAAGCUCUCCAAUGUAUUGCUGGCUGGUCACUUCAGUGAAUGGUGCUACAUCUGGGGCUCAGUUUUGGUCUCUGGUGAUGGCAGAUGUGGCAUCCAGCAGCAGCUGUAGCCAGGUCAGCCUUGGUGAGUGAAUUACCAUGUUUUUGAACCGAAGCAUGAACACAUCUUGCCAACAUGGCCACUUUGUUCAUGUGUACAUCAAGCAAUGGCAGGGAUGGCUGGGAAUUGAUUUACUAAACAAGAUUGCCAACUAAAGUUGGUUUCUAACAACUUUGGGCUACCCCUUUUCAGUUUCAUUAUGUGGUGGCAUGGUAGGCUCUUAUCUAAAUUCUUCUUUCCCUUACUGAAUAUUCUUCUUAUUUUUAUUUAUUUCUCUUUCUAAGUUUUGUGUAAAUUCCAGUCUGUGUCUGAAUAUUUUGAUAUUAAAUCUUUUUAAGGCUUGCUUAAAUUCCUUUGUCUGAAUCGGAGUAUUUUGGUCAUAUUCAUUUACAAGACUUUCCAUUUUCAGCUAGAGAAAGCACCCAAGGAGGUGAAAGAGUCUGCAACCCUAGGUGGAACAACAAUAUGAACUAACCAAUACCCCCGGAGCUUGUGUCUCUAGCUGCAUAUGUAGCAGAAGAUGGACUAGUUGGCAGUCACUAGGAAGAGAGGCCCCUUUAUCUGCCCCAGUACCGGGGAAUGCCAGGGCCAAGAAAUGGGAGUGGGUGGGUAGGGGAGCAGGGCAUGGGGAGGGUAUAGGGGAGUUUCAGGAUAGCAUUUGAAAUGUAUUUAAAGAAAAUAUCCAAUAAUAAAAAAUUUU
rnacentral:lncRNA from 1 species